GACGAACGCUGGCGGCGUGCUUAACACAUGCAAGUCGAACGGAAAGGCCCUGCUUUUGUGGGGUGCUCGAGUGACGAACGGGUGAGUAACACGUGAGUAACCUGCCCUUGACUUUGGGAUAACUUCAGGAAACUGGGGCUAAUACCGGAUAGGAGCUCCUGCUGCAUGGUGGGGGUUGGAAAGUUUCGGCGGUUGGGGAUGGACUCGCGGCUUAUCAGCUUGUUGGUGGGGUAGUGGCUUACCAAGGCUUUGACGGGUAGCCGGCCUGAGAGGGUGACCGGCCACAUUGGGACUGAGAUACGGCCCAGACUCCUCCGGGAGGCAGAAGUGGGGAUUAUUGCACAAUGGGCGGAAGCCUGAUGCAGCAACGCCGCGUGCGGGAUGACGGCCUUCGGGUUGUAAACCGCUUUCGCCUGUGACGAAGCGUGGGUGACGGUAAUGGGUAAAGAAGCACCGGCUAACUACGU
rnacentral:rRNA from 1 species